UACGUAGGGGGCAAGCGUUGUCCGGAUUUAUUGGGCGUAAAGAGCGUGUAGGCGGCCAGGUAGGUCUGCUGUGAAAACUCGAGGCUUAACCUCGAGCUGUCGGCGGAAACCAUCUGGCUAGAGUCCGGAAGAGGAGAAUGGAAUUCCCGGUGUAGCGGUGAAAUGCGCAGAUAUCGGGAAGAACACCCGUGGCGAAGGCGGCAUCCUGGACCAACACUGACACUGAGGAGCGAAAGCCAGGGGAGCAAACGGG
rnacentral:rRNA from 1 species